GACUCAACCCCUUUUGCAUCAGCCAACGUUAAUCCCAUUUCCUUACUCUCUGUCCAAACACCAAACCCCACAUAAAACACAUAAAAAAAAGAUCUAACGUGGUGCCGAUGCAAGAAAAACACAGCGGCGCACAUGAACACCGCGGCGGCGCCGUCGUGGCCCACCCAGAAAUUAACCGGAAUUCACAUUCCACUCAAACGAACCUUCCUCAGUCCAAAUCUAAACCUAGAUUCCACAAAUAAAACCUCACAAAACCCCAAACAACGCGAUCUACUACACCAACCUAAAAUCUAACAAAUCCUAAAUUAAAUCAAGACCAUUAACAAUCCAAACAGAAAAAGGGAAGGCUCCUACUCAAACAAACAUGGCGAACACGAAAGCACGGUCGAUUUGGAUUCGAAACGGGAAGGAAGUCUACCUACACGGUGCUAGUCCGGUGACAUCCUCUUCGGAAACCUUUAGAUAAGUCAAUCCUUUCUCUCCAUGAUAUCCUCUUUCUUCUUCUCCCUCAGCACCUUCUAAUACUUCUUUUCUUUGUUUUGGUAGGUAUCUCCGGUGUGUGGUUUAGCUUCGUUUCAACGCCGACUUCGACGUGAGGUCUCAGAAGGAAUCUUAGGGAAGCUUUGGGUGAGGAUAUCCGGAUUUUUUCAUCAUAACGGUAAUGUUCUCCCCUUUUUUUCAUCUGUGGAACGCCCCUUUAUAUAGCCUGAGAUCUUCAGAAUCGUGGUGUGCUGGCGGAAGCUGUUAUUUUGUUAGAGAAGAUCUCCCUUAGAUAUCGUGGAUCUUGUGAAUUUGUUGUAAGUGAAACGAUUUCUUUUGUCUGUAGCCAAUGCGAUUUUCUAAUCUUCCAAAUUAGUGUGGUCCUUUGUUGGGUUUCUCUUGAAUUGUUAGUGCUGUAAGACAGGUAAAUGUUGUGGUAGAAAUUCAUUUUUUUAUUGUUGUAAUAUUUAACUUUAACUGAGGUGUGACUUUAAUCAUCUCUGAUUAGAAACACUUCCUGGUGUUCUUCUGGUUUUUUAGCUGAUGUGAGGAAAAACUGUUUGAUUUGGCUUGUGGUGAUAUAUGUUAGCUGUUCAAAGACACUCUUAUAUUUAUUUUGCUUUCUUUUCCUUUGUUUGAACUGAUCUACCAUUCAUUUUGGCAAUACCCUGCAUGGUUGUGAUGAUAAUAUGGCUUUAAACACAUUGUUUCUUCUUGCAUGUUUCAAUUUUGGCGUUAUCAUCUUCUAAUUUUAAAGACUGUCACGGUUAUUCCUGACAUAUCAUACUUUUGCAGAGGGAAUUUGGAUCCUGAUAUUCUAACUGAUCUCUGUAAUUUGGCAGGUUGUAAUUGGAAUCGCUCUGCACCAUUACGCGGAUGAUACUAGGGAAACUCUUGUCCUUCUUUGGGCUAGACGACACAUGGUACUUCGAUUGGCUUGAGGCGAGGCCUCUUCAAGAAAGUGAGUGAAUCGCUUAGUUUAAUGGGCAUUAACUGCAGGUUUGGAUUAUUCCAAUCAAAGGGCCUAAAAGGAAGCAUCAAGGCAGGAUAUUUGUAAGGCUUGCGUAAAUGGAGAUCAUUUGACCAACUCUCCCUUUCUUGAUAGGCCCUGACGGCAAGAGACAGAUUUUAAGUGAAAAGUAUUUGACCAAAGGUUCACUCCAUUUGAAAUUUUGAAAGGGGAUUUCACGAUGCGUCAACUGGAGUUCUGAAGAAUCGGAGCAGGCCGAUGUUCACCAUGGAUGGAGCAUUUUAAAUGUGUUUUAACACAAAUUGUGAUUUCCGUGUUGGGUUUUUCUUUGUAAUCCUAUGUAACUUUUAAUGUAUUGUUAAAGGUAUUCAUUGAAGAACAACUUUUGGAUAAAAAAAAUAUAUUGCUUUUUUCUUGAA